rnacentral:misc_RNA from 1 species
GAAAUGCGAUAAUUAAUGUGAAUUGCAGAAUUCAGUGAAUCAUCGAGUCUUUGAACGCACAUUGCGCCCCCUGGUAUUCCGGGGGGCAUGCCUGUCCGAGCGUCAUUGCUGCCCUCAAGCACGGCUUGUGUGUUGGCUUCCGUCCCUGGCAACGGGGACGGGCCCAAAAGGCAGUGGCGGCACCAUGUCUGGUCCUCGAGCGUAUGGGGCUUUGUCACCCGCUCCCGUAGGUCCAGCUGGCAGCUAGCCUCGCAACCAAUCUUUUUAACCAGGUUGACCUCGGAUCAGGUAGGGAUACCCGCUGAACUUAAGC